rnacentral:rRNA from 1 species
AUUGAACGCUGGCGGCAUGCCUUACACAUGCAAGUCGAACGGCAGCGGACCUUCGGGUGGCCGGCGAGUGGCGAACGGGUGAGUAAUAUAUCGGGAACGUACCUUUCAGUGGGGGAUAACGUAGCGAAAGUUACGCUAAUACCGCAUAUUCUGUGAGCAGGAAAGCAGGGGAUCGCAAGACCUUGCGCUGAUUGAGCGGCCGAUAUCAGAUUAGCUAGUUGGUGAGGCAAAGGCUCACCAAGGCGACGAUCUGUAGCGGGUCUGAGAGGAUGAUCCGCCACACUGGAACUGAGACACGGUCCAGACUCCUACGGGAGGCGAGCAGUGGGGAAUUUUGGACAAUGGGCGCAAGCCUGAUCCAGCCAUGCCGCGUGAGUGAAGAA